UCAUGCUAAUACUAUUACAUGCAUUUGACAUAACAAUAAUGUGCCCUUUAAUAACUCUUUCUUUUCUUUAUAUCACCAACAGCACCGCCAGACCAUCGGCGAAGAAGCUGCCGCCGCAAACGCAAACCCAACUGGUUUCAUAGCGAUCCCAGGUUUGGCUUUGCGCCUGUCCAGCCACCACCACCGGCUCGGCCCGCAGCUCCGGCCGCACCAGCGCCACCGCCUCCACCAGCAGGUCCGCCAGUGCCAGUGCCAGUGCCCGCGCCAGUGCUCGUGCCAGUGCCCGCGGCUGCGCCCUUGCCCGCGCCAGUGCCUGCACCAGUGCCUGUGCCGCCCGCUCCACCGGCUCGACGACCACCUCGAAGACUUGCACCACCGGGUGCACCUGCACCUGGUAUGUGGAGGCCGCAAAGGGUUGCGGGCCUUCUAUCGAGACAGGCCACAGCGGCUCUGUUUGGAGUGAAAGUGCAAUUGCGUCCCCC